UUCAUUAACAGCGGUACAGUUAAUGCGACAACCGCCGUUACUCCAAAUAGCGUCUUCUUCACGCCUCGGAAGACCUCUAAAAUGCACUCUCUCUCCAUUUCCAUUUUCCGCAAGAAAAUCGCCUGAAAACGUCCGUUCAAGUCCUCAGUGAAGAACCACCAAAGGGCGCUCCUAUAGAAAUAACAGCUAACGGUACCCAAUGAACCAAUACCCGGGCAUUCCCUUCUGGACAGUUGGCGAGCUAAUUAGACAAUAACGGACACAGUAUUUAUGACUGGUUUGAGCCAUUCUCCCCGUUGCUAUUCUCGUUGGCACAAGUUCUUUUGCAUCGCGCCCCGAAGCUAAAACCACUCCUAACCUUGGUAGUCAAUAUCUGUCCGAGCUAGAUUUUCUUCCGAUCGACUUCAUGGGGAAUUUUGUGUUUUUUCUCUCCCGCAGGCUUGUCCUUUUUUCCUCUCUGCCCCCGGCGCCGCAGUCUUUUCACUGAGAACUAGCCACUAUCCAUCGCAUUAGAGGUGGAGUGAGACACAGAAAAGCCAAGAGAGAAUCUACGACUCCCUCGGGAAUCCUAUAAAUGUGCUGGCGCCAGAGAAUCUGGAUUCAAUUACCAAGUAAACCUCGAGAACCAUUAAGCGCCGUUCGAACGUGUAAUUACGCGUAACCGUGAAAUUCGUCUCAAUGAAGUUGGUGAGGGGAUAGCCGAAGAAAAGCAGCAACCACCCUAAGAAUUAUUAGCCAGUUCCGUGGCCACGCAUCCUGGAUUACCGGGUCAGCGUAAGUUCCCCGAAGUAAUCAUUGUACUGAGCAGACACGGGUACCAGGUAGUCUCUCGCCUGCGGCGAGACAGAAAAUAGAGUAAGAGAGGAUGAAUACCAUAAGUGGAUCUUCACCAAUGAUGGAGAGAGACACGGCAGUGAUACGUAGGACGCCCAGUUGAAUGCCGUGUAACACUGGGACUCGAGACAGUUAUGGGGCAAUCAUCGAUGACUUUGAGAUAAUUGAGUGAUUGAAAUGGUGAGUGGAAUUGAUAUACACGCAUGAGGUAACACUAUUCAAUUCAAUAUCUACGUACCCAUCAAUAUUGACAAGCUAAUCAUUGAGCGAUUAAUACACAACGAAUUGUUACAACGAUACCCACUAUUCCGGUUAUCGAGAUUGCACUUGAAAACAACGAUUCCCCCGUUCCUCUUGUUCGUGUUUUCCAGCUUCCCCUCUCGAUUAUCGUUCAUUGGCUGCCACUGGUGCUACGCAAUCGAGAGGUAUCUCGUGAACGGAAUAGGAAAUUCAUGCAAAAAGCAUUCGAAUGUUUCAAUUACCCAGCUAGCCAAUGAUGAGUUGCGAUCAAACUCGAGUAUUUCAAUGGGUGAAUAAUUUAACUGUGAAAAAGUAGAUAGAGAAAGGCGCAAAUCGAUAAUUGACUCCAAAUUGCUUUUAGGCUUAUCUACUGCUGGGUGCACUGGGGAUGAAACUCUAUAAAAAAUGGCCGUUAAUUUAAUGCUGGGAGAAAAGUUUUAGUGUUUAACAAAUCGUAAAUUUACGAUUAUCACUGGACAGGCGAUGGUUAUGGAGAUGAGAAUUGGAAUCGAACAGUGCGGAAAAAGUCGAUUGAACUCUAUAGAAGCAUUAUCCGCUUGCGCACUUCGGAAAUUUUAAGCAUACGACGGUUCUUCGGAAAUUUUAAGGAAUUUUAUUGUUGGGAAUUGGCAACUGGACAAAGACAAUCGGCACAAGUUGAAUUCCAAUGCUAUUGUUCUAUGAAAACUGAUAACAAUCUGAGAAAUGUUUAAUUAAUUUGAAGUCCCAUGGGAUUUAGUACUUAAUGUCCAUUUGUUGAUUGAACAUUCAGAUAAAGUGGGAAAUUCUCAUCUGUCUGAUGUUAAAAAAUUUGAAUUCCAUUGAAUCAAUUUUUGAACCCUCUUCCGGUUUCAUAAUAUUUUUUCUCAAUAAAGCCAUAAAAAUGAAACAGUAUAAAAAGUGCAUUGAUAUCCUGAAAGAUUAUUCCAAUAGAAGAAGGGAAGCAUAAAACAUUGUACUAUAACUGGGCAUUGGAAUCGCUCCUCAGUAAAAAUAUCGAUCGAACCAAGUUCUCGGCUUUCCCUCCCCAUAAUAUGUGAUCGCCAACAAUUCAGUAAUACUCUCCAUUUACUCGCUUUGCAGCUGUUAACCCGCACCUUAACACCAGUAUCCACACACUUGGUAACCUUCCGCGAAGGCACCAUCAUUUCGUUACGGCAUGCGCACUGACGUAUGCGGAAUGUUAAUUUAUUAAGUGCCACGAUCCAUAGUAGCCCCGUUGGAUGUGCGAGCUCAGACAUUCAGCGUCUUCCUCUCUCCAAAGCAAUGAAGUACCGGUACUGAGGGGGAAUAUACACCAAGGGCUUCCUCAAUGCCUUCUAUUCGUAUUUCUCUUGUUAAGUAUCUGUUUAAACUCGUCUGUUGGUUAAUGGCUACUCCCCUGGAUCUCGGCAAAAUCGUGUAAGCUCGGGGUUUGGUAUACGCUGGACUACCAGGGCAACUGUGUCCGUUCUUCCAACCACCAACGCUGAAAACUCACCGACCCGUGAAUACACGCUCCAUCGAAUGUCCUGUUAUAACUCGAUGAACUUACGCCUCGGGAGGAAAAAACAACGGGGUAUGGUUCAUAAUCUGUAAUUAUUGCAACAGUGUGCGCUAUGAGGAGCACUCUUUGGCAAUCAAGACGGGAGGAAGAAGUGGGUACAAAAAGCCUGAGGGGGAGAAGAGUGGGCACUCUGCUGAGAUGAUAGGGUUUUGCCAGUGCAACCGGCAGACAUCAUCUUAUUAGUUGAUUCAUUCAUUUCAGUGAUUCUCUGCUUUCUUGGGUUGGUUCCUGUAAUGCGCUUUGAGAUACUUCAGACUUGUGGAAAAUCUCAACUACAAGUUCUCAAGUGCGCGGGUUUGAUAGGAGGUCACGCGGAAAGAAAAAUUGAAUAAAAAUUGCGAAAAAUAAGUGAUCAGUCCUUUUCUUACAUAUAUGGGUUAAAUAUAUGGUAAAAAGGCGUUAAGGUGUCAUUAUGGCAACAGUGCGUUACGUGAGCGAUCUUGGCAGCCAAAGCGGUAAAAAAAAAUCGGACUAAAGAAACCGAGGAGAUGAGCGGAAAUUCUACUGAGAUGAUGGGGUUUUACUUGCAAUUGGCAGACAUCAUCCCAGCUGACUCAUUCAUUUAAUUGAGCCCCUCCUUCCCCGGAGUCAUCUCAAUAACGCUCUUUGAGAUAUUCAAGUCUCUCGGAAAACAUCAAAUUUAAGUUCAGUAACAUACGGGCCGGCCCCAGAAUUUUUGCGAUAUGAAGACGCGAUAAGCUGUAAUUAUUGCAACACUGCAAAAGCACUCUUUGGCAAUCAACGCGGAAGGAAAAAGUGGGUACAAAAAGCCGAGGGGUAAAGUGGGUAUUCUGGGGAGAUGAUGGAGUUUUGCUCGUGCAAACGGUAGACAUCAUCUUCUUAGUCGGUUCAUUCAUUUUCGUGAUUCCCUUCUUCCUCGGGCUUGUCUCGAUAAUGCUCUUUAAGAUACUUGAGACUUGCGUCUUUAGAAGUACAGACUCACCUAUACUGCUACUGAAUCACACCUACGGAGAAGUAUAUCAGAAGGAAUCCGCUUACCUAAAACAGAAAGAUGUACUUGUGAAAUAAAGAUAUCACUGCAAAGCUCAAGAGGUGGAGUAAUUGAGGCAUUAUAAACGAUCUUUUGAGGCAGACAGUUAUUAGACUAGGGUAUAAUACUCUCAUUAAUUUGCAUAGCCCAGCCAGUUUAACAGUACAUUUAUUACGCUGGGCACUGGGCGGUUCGUCGCAGGACUAUUUAAAAAUGUGCUGUCUUCCUUAAUUUCGCAGAUAUUUCCCCUGCAAUUUUGUAGCUCAAUUUAAAAAUUUUCUAAAAUCGAGAAAAAUACAGCUGUGCUUUGGAAGAUCUAUUUCUCCAGUUGACCCACCAUUUUUGUCCAGUCUAGAAUUAGCAGAAGAAAUUUUUUCUGUAUUCAAUUUUGAAUGGUGAGAGUAUUAGAAUUGAAAGAUUGAUGACUAGGGAGGAGGUUGUUGUAGCUUUAAAAUCACCUCCUGAAGAAAUAAUGGAUAGAAAAAAAUAACUACUGAAUA